AGACUCUCUUUCCCUACACAACGUACUUCCCAUGUUCACCUUUUCAGCCCGCGAUAUAUCUUUUAGCAUUUCCUCGAUGAAAUACUUUGUUCGACCGUAGACAUUUGUUAUAUUACCCGUUGGAUGGUUUUCAGUUAUGGGCAGACUAUCAGGCUCACCAUAAACGGUGCACGAACUGCUGAA
rnacentral:lncRNA from 2 species